rnacentral:rRNA from 1 species
GAUGAACGCUGGCGGCGUGCCUAAUACAUGCAAGUCGAGCGAACAGAUAAGGAGCUUGCUCCUCUGACGUUAGCGGCGGACGGGUGAGUAACACGUGGGUAACCUACCUAUAAGACUGGAAUAACUCCGGGAAACCGGGGCUAAUGCCGGAUAAUAUGUUGAACCGCAUGGUUCAACAGUGAAAGGCGGCUUUGCUGUCACUUAUAGAUGGACCCGCGCCGUAUUAGCUAGUUGGUGAGGUAACGGCUUACCAAGGCAACGAUACGUAGCCGACCUGAGAGGGUGAUCGGCCACACUGGAACUGAGACACGGUCCAGACUCCUACGGGAGGCAGCAGUAGGGAAUCUUCCGCAAUGGGCGAAAGCCUGACGGAGCAACGCCGCGUGAGUGAUGAAGGUCUUCGGAUCGUAAAACUCUGUUAUUAGGGAAGAACAAAUGCGUAAGUAACUGUGCGCGUCUUGACGGUACCUAAUCAGAAAGCCACGGCUAACUACGUG